rnacentral:rRNA from 1 species
AAACUUGUUGCAGUUAAAAAGCUCGUAGUUGAAUUUCUGCUGCAUCGUGGUUCUUCGCUAUGUCGAGUGGGCCUCGUUGUGGCUUAGUUGGGGCAUGUUUUCAUGACUCGACGUUUACUUUGAGAAAAUUAGAGUGCUUCAAGCAGGCUUUUGCCUUGAAUACUUUAGCAUGGAAUAAUGGAGUAGGACUUUGGUUCUAUUUUGUUGGUUUUAGGAGCCGGAGUAAUGGUUAAUAGGAACAGUUGGGGGCAUUCGUAUUUGACUGUCAGAGGUGAAAUUCUUAGAUUUGUUAAAGACAAACUACUGCGAAAG